rnacentral:rRNA from 1 species
AACGAACGCUGGCGGCGUGUUUAAGACAUGCAAGUCGCACGGGAUCAUUUUGGUAGCAAUACUCGGAUGGUCCAGUGGCGCACGGGUGAGUAACACGUGAAUGACAUGCCCUUCAGUGGGGGAUAGCCCAGGGAAACUUGGAUGAAUACCCCAUGGUCUCGCGAGAGUAAAGGUGGCGCAAGCUGCCGCUGGAGGAUUGGUUCGCGUUCUAUCAGCUUGUUGGCGGGGUAACGGCCCACCAAGGCUACGACGGAUACCUGGUCUGAGAGGACGAUCAGGCACACUGGAACUGAGACACGGUCCAGACACCUACGGGUGGCAGCAGUCGAGAAUAAUUCACAAUGGGGGCAACCCUGAUGGUGCAACGCCGCGUGGAGGAUGAAGGUCUUCGGAUUGUAAACUCCUGUCAUCCGGGAGCAAGACCUGGCGGUCAAUAGCCGACAGGGUUGAUAGUACCGGAAGAGGAAGGGACGGCUAACUUCGUGCCAGCAGCCGCGGUAACAC